rnacentral:rRNA from 1 species
GACGAACGCUGGCGGCGUGCCUAAGACAUGCAAGUCGAGCGGGGCUUCGGGGCUUCGGCCCUGAAGCCCAGCGGCGGACGGGUGAGUAACACGUGGAUAACCUGCCCUCUGCUCUGGGAUAACAGGCCGAAAGGCCUGCUAAUACCGGAUAAGCUCACGGUCCCGCAUGGGGCUGGGAGAAAAGGCGCUGGAGUCAGUGGCGCUGGCAGAGGAGGGGUCCGCGGCCCAUUAGCUGGUUGGCGGGGUAACGGCCCACCAAGGCGACGAUGGGUAGCCGCGGCCUGAGAGGGCGCCGGGCCCACACUGGGACUGAAACCCGGCCCCAAACUCCUACGGGAGGCAGCAGUCGGGAAUUUUGCACAAUGGCCGAAAGGCUGAUGCAGCAACGCCGCGUGAGCGAAGAAGGCCUUCGGGUUGUAAAGCUCUGUUGCCUGCGAAGAAGGGCCCCGUCAGGAAAUGGGCGGGGUUUGACGGUAGCAGGCGAGGAAGCCCCGGCAAACUACGUGCCAGCAGCCGCGGUAAUACGUAGGGGGCGAGCGUUGUCCGGAAUUACUGGGCGUAAAGGGCGUGUAGGCGGCCUGUUAAGUCAGGGGUGAAAGACCGGGGCUCAACCCCGGGGGUGCCUCUGAAACUGGCGGGCUUGAGUGCUCUAGAGGGCAGUGGAAUUCCCGGUGUAGCAGUGAAAUGCGUAGAGAUCGGGAGGAACACCAGUGGCGAAGGCGGCUGCCUGGGGAGUCACUGACGCUGAGGCGCGAAAGCUAGGGGAGCAAACAGGAUUAGAUACCCUGGUAGUCCUAGCCGUAAACGAUGAGUGCUAUGUGUGAGGGGUAUCGACCCCCCUCGUGCAGGAGCUAACGCACUAAGCACUCCGCCUGGGGAGUACGGCCGCAAGGUUGA